GGCUCCGCGCGAGGGCCGCCGGAUGAGAACCCGAGAAGCUCGGGUUCUCGGGUGGGGAGUCGGGCGCGCUGGCAGCCCUAAGUACCCCCCGAGAUUUACAGUAACUCACGGCACCAGCACGGAGGCGGGAGCGGCGUAAGUUGAGGAUAGUGCCAGGAUCCUUAACCAGAUGUGGAGUCGGCAGGUAGUAGUGGAAACACCACGUGCCGGAGCCAAAGCGAUCUGCGCUUGAACCCUGGGUCUUCCUCCACUUACUCUGCAACUUGGGGCAAGUCACUGUGGACUCAAAACAGAAGAACUCUCAUUGACUUAUCUUUCUGAAGUAUCAUUCUGACUGACAUCUUUUUGAAGAAGGCAAUGAAGCUGGAUAAUCUCCCACCUACUUAAUGGUUCCUUCUCAGAUUCUAGCAUUUUAAGGCUCGGUCAAGA